GCGGGAGCAGAAGAAUCAAUAUUGACAGGACAGUAUAUCCGUUUGGAUUGUAGCCACACAAAGGGGAUGCGAUUGCAGCGCUCAAAUAGUACAUAAGAGGAUGCAUGUGAACUAUACUGUGUAAUUACAUGGACUUCCAGUCCGCGAAUGACGGAACAGGAAGUAACCUUCAGGAUAGCUUUAAAAACCGGUUGGUUUUAAAUCGGAGUGGGAGAAGGGACCUUCUGACGUCACUAGGGGAGGAGACACGUCACCAGGGGGAGGAGCUACGGCUUCGCUGGCCUAAAGGUAAUAGUUGGUGGCGUGGAUAGUAGAGGAUCUAUCUCGCUAGCCUAGCUCCUCCCCCUUGUGUUGUGGUUCCUUCCCCUGACAUAAAAAGUCCCUUAGGCCAUUUGAAUCUAGCAUCAACCUUUAAAAACCAUCUCUGCGGACAUUGCAUUCAAGCCUUGAUAAAGAGACAGGAGUCCCGAAACAUGUUGGCCUGGCAGUGCCCUCAGAUGACCCACAUUGUGGAGAAGGUCCGUAGCAGCAGAAAAGGAAAGUGCUGGCAUAGCAAGAGUUAAGAAAGGACCCUUGUCUGGAUGUGAAAAGCUGAUUGGGCAGAGAAGCCUGGGAACAGAGGAGCCUCUUGGGAAGAAGAAGAAGGAGUCGAUUGGAGAGACUUGAGGUGCUGGAUGCAUGCUGAGUGAACGAGCAGAGUGGGAGCUGAGAACGUGUGUCAGCCGCAGGGUCAUCCUGGGUGCUGAAAGCAGAACUGAAGAGAGGAAACAGCGGGGUGCUCCUGGAGAGACAAGUGCCGAGUAAGCGAGUGUGAGAUGUCGCAGCCAGAGGCCGGACACCGCUGGGCUUAGUGAAAGGACGCCACAGCCAUCUUAUAACAGUGAGGAACUGUUGAAAACUGGUCCACAGUAACGGUUGGACAACAUGCCAGUAACUAUCAACAAAGCUAUGAGCAAGAUAAUCACUAACAUGAAAAAAGAGAAGAAAAGCAUCAAAGAGAUCCAUGCAUGGCUCAAGGAAAGUGGCAUUAUAGUCACUUUAGAAACUGUGCGCUAUCAUGCUUUCGAGAUAACAACACCCAGAUUUGCAUUUCCUACAAAAUGAACAUGGCACGUACUGUACAGUCAUAGGUGUAGCUUGGUGCCAUGGUGCCCGGAGCAAGGGUAUGUUUUGGCGCCCCCUCCCCUGUACUGAAUUGGGGGCCUGCCCAACAUGUGGUGGCAUGUUAUAUUUGAAAAGAAAAAAUAGUUAAAAAUACUAAAUUGGUCACAGGUCCGGUUCUAGACCCCGUAGAGCUCAGGGUGAAAGUUUCCGCUGGGCAGGUUACCCCCCCCCACCCACCUCCUAAAGUAUAAAACAGAGAUAGUGCAUCCCCAGACAUGCAACAAAUACAGAGAUAAUGCAGAUAAAGGUGCUGCAACAGCAGCUGGGGCAUAGUGAGGGUUUGUCAGUCAGAAGUCUCCAAUCUAGUUUGUGAAGAUACUCCCUCUCAAGCUCCUUGUAAAAGGUGAGUGAGUGUAUAGAGCUAAUAUCAUAUAACAAACGUAUUGGCUGUAUUUUACUGACACUCUUUUAGACACAUUUUUUGGGAAAUUACUUGAUGAACUAUUUGUAUAAUUCCAUUUGUUCAAAUGUAUGCUAUUAAAAUAAGUUUUUACUAAUUGG